GUGUUAAAUUUUUAAGUAGUCAAAGUCAGGAGCCCGUCUGGAGAAUGGAAGUGUUAAAUUUUUAAGUAGGUGAAGUCAGGAGCCCGCCUGGAUAAUAGAGGAGUACUUUCAAGUUCAAGUUCAGCAAUCAGGAGCUCGCCUGGAUAACAGAGGAAUACAUUCGAGUUCAAGAUUACUCAAGUUCAGCAGUUGGAGAGAGGGAAUAACAUCUCAGUUAACCAGGUGAAAUAGCAACAAGGAAUUUUAUCGAGAAAACACAAGACAAUGAGGCAACAAGACAACACAAGACAACAAGGCAACAAGGAAGUACAAGAGCAAGUUUGAAGAAUCUAGAUAGGACUUUUUUAAUUCAUAGUUCAUAGCUUAGUCUAACUUCUUUUAUUUUUACACAGUGUAAUAAGGGAAGUCAGCAAGCAGCAGCAACAGCAAUCGCAGUGAAAUCACAGCUCCUAGUAAUCCCAGCUACCAGACAUUCCCGAACUACACUGACCUGAUAACUGUUUAGCCCAGGAUAUGUAGGCAACCUCUGAAGCAGGGUGCGGUCGAGCUUUUAAAAAAAUGUUUCACACGGAAUUUCCAAACGGGCAAAAAUCGCUCGUAUUUGCUCACUUAUCUUUGCCCGAAAACAUUUCAUGUUUUCAAGCAAAGAGGGGAAGUUGUGAGCACGUGAGUUUUGCCCUAUACAUGAAUAAUUCCCAAAAAAUUCCAACAAAAUAAUUUUUCUUUAUUUUUACAAUUUUUCGUGCACUUUGAUGUCAUUUUCUGAUAAUGGUUGCAUUUUAUGUUUGCAUGCUAAUUCAUAAAAAAUACAAAAAAUACGCAUUUGCAUUUAGGAUUCAACUCCACAUUUUAGGAUCAAAUAGAAAAUUAGUUAUUUUAUACAAAAAAUGAAAUGAGAAAAAUCGCAAAAUAGUUUAUUUUUUGCACUUUUAAAUUUAAUUUCAAAUUCUGGCGGUUUUUCUUUAAUUAGUUGUGGUAAUUAUUAUUUCAAAUAGUUAAUUUAAUUUGGUGGGUCAAUUUAAUUAGAGAUUAAGUUAGGUUUGUUUUUAUUUUAUUUCAAUUUAGCAAAGUCUGAAAAAUAAAAGAAAAGAAAAAAGAGAAAGGAGCAUGAAGGGAAAUUGGUCUUUGGACCACCUUAAUUCAAGAGCUCCCUAGCCCAAUGCUCAACUCACCAUCCCCCUGGCCCAAACGUUUCCCCUUCCCAAACCCGCCUAAACCCGGCCUACACCCGCCUGACCCGACCCGUCCAUAUACACACGGAAACCCAAUCAGUCGAUCAAACCCCCCCAGACCCCUAAUCCCAGCCGCGACUGUUCUUCUUCUCCCAAAGAACAUCUGAAUCCAACCCUAAUCCUGUCUAAAUCCAUGGUGAGUGAGCCUCAAAUCCACAACCCACGCGUUCCCUCAUCCCUUCUCUCAUCGUUCUAACGGAUUUUCCCAUGCGAGAUUCCCUUCCCCUCUCACUCGCCCGAUUUUGAUCCAUCUCACGCGAUUGGAACGUCCUAGAGAUGAUUCGUUGGAUGAAUGUGAGGCUUUGGAUUGAUUUCGUUCAAUCCGAGCCCCACAUUCAUCCGGGGUUCGUUUCAUAAAAGGACUCAACCCGAUUUUUUAAGGGGGAGGAUUUUUCGGAGAAGAUAUGAAAUUUUGAAAAUCGUCUUACUUCUUCUUCUAUACUGAAAUUGGAGUUGAGUUCGAGAAUAAGAAAAGAGAUAUAUAAAUAUGUUCAUGGUUCUUUGAUAUUUUUUUUGGUUUUCAAUUACUUUCCAAAACAAAAAAUCAAAAGAUAUAUUCCAUCCUUUCCUUUUGGGUUGGAGGUGGUUUGAAAAUGGUGCUCGAUUGAGAGUCGCUGAGUUUGUUGUUGUCCGAGUUUUGAUUUCUAAACGAUUCUGUUGAUGGUUGUGCUGAUAUUAGCUAUUGUAUUUCAUUUGUACGCAAUGUUCGAGCACAGUUGAUCGGAAGUAUUUAUUGAUUAGGGGUUCAUUUCUUCUUUAUUUAUAUUUUUCUUCUGUGAUUCUGUGUUGUGCGCUCAUGUUCUGUUAUGUUUUCGAUCUAAGACUGCUUGAAAGUUAGUGUUUGGUUGUUUGAAUUAAAAGCUGAGUCAUGUUGGCCUUGGUUCAGGUCUGUUUCUGGUUGUUCUUGGUGUGUGUUUAUUCUGUAUUGGGCGAGCGAUUGUAUGCAUUGGUAUGAAGGUUGCAGCUGUAUGAAGUCAUCCCAUUCGUUUGUUAAAUUUAAGCACGGAAACAGAUUCAUGAACCUUAAGGGUUGAAGCUUUCUUAUUCGACCAUUUCUGUCGGUUUAGUUGAGUUAUAGACUAUUCGGCUAUAUGUUUUGUUUGAGAAGAGGUAUUAGUUUUCUGUGUGCAAAUGUGAAUCCGUUGCGCUUGCUAGAUUUUUACAUGAAUGGACAAGCUUUUGAUCCACUCUAUGGUUGUUAGAUGAGAUGUAUUUGUUGUUUGUCGAUUCAUUGAGUCACAGAAUUUCUCACCCGUCCCGAGUGCAAUAUUAGCUUAUGAAAUUGACACUGGUCAUCUUUUGUUGUUGUUGUGUUACUCAGUCAAUGGUAUUUACCAAGACAUGCUACGAAUGCUCGAAGAUAAGCGAUUCAAUGCUUGUUCUAAAGCAGUAGUUGGUCUAAACUUUGGCUAUCCAAGUACAAUUGAUUUAAAUUCCAGCAAUAGCUUCUUGAGGUUUGGUUCAUUCCUGUUGUGUUUGGCUUAGCUUUGCGUUGGUCUAAAGGGGUCGAAGCUCCAUUGUGUCGCUGUUUGUAUAUGCUCAGAUUUGCGCUAUUUGUCUUCUCCUACUGGAAAUCUAUCUGUAUUAUUACAGCUAUAAGAACUUUGUUCUUUCGCACUGCCAAAAACAGUUGAUUCAAGCGAUGAAUCAUGCUGAAAUAUGCAGUAUUGUGGGAUAUCUGUUUGGAUUGUUAGCCUGCAGAAAAUCUGCCUUUGUUUCAUUUUUGUGACUCUCCUUCAAACGUCGCUGUUAUUUUUCUUGUGUGUUCCUCCUUUCAAGGAUCGGCAGGCAGUCAUGAUUCACUCAAGAGUUUCAUAUGAUAUUUGAAAAUGCCUACUUGUUUAUCAUUUCCUUUUCAAAGUAAAUCUGACUUCUUGUUGAAAAAAUGCAUUAGUGUACUGUCCACUUGCUUCAGGAUACAAGGAAAGUAUCAGUGGUAGUGUUUUUUUGAAACACAAAGAGCCUUCAGUUCAUUUUGCAAUAUUGAUUGAUAAGUGAGUACAUUUGGUUUAUGGGAAGCUUUGGAAUGGUCUUGUAAAGGUUUAUUUCUCACACUACUUCUUGGUUGAGAUAUGAUUCAUGAACAUAUGAGUUUAUUUCUUAUCUUGAGUUUAUUUCUUAUCUUGAGUUUAUUUCAAACAUAGGCCUGAAACGAUUCUCGUUGUUACUUGUUAUGGCUCAUUCGAUUUGGUUAAGCUUGUUUGUCCAGUUUGGGCCAAUCUCAGGCCCAAUGACUAUGUUUAUUAGAAAUUCUACCCAUGUACAAAUAUUGAAGCUUGGGCCCUCUUGGUUUCCUGACUAAUACGUCUGGCCCAUAUUUUAGUUAAUUAAGUUUUCUUUUGUUUAUUUUUAGAGAAAAAUAAGUAGAAAAAAAUAUAGUUGCUUCUAAGUUUGCCCUUAAAAUAAAAUGAGACGAGCCUCGCCCAAUAAACACAAAAUUGCGGGGCCCUCAAUAAUGGCUAUAAAAUAAUUAGAAUUUGGGAGGGCCGUUUAGAGAAUUUCAUGGUCGUCCCUAAAAAUAAUGUUACGUUAGAACCCUUAGGCGCGACUUAACUAAAUUACUUCCUUAAACUUGGGUGCGCAUUGAUGCGACCCAAAUCCAAAUCUCGACGAAGUCGAAAUGUGUCGACAACCACGGGUGCAUUGAUUGCAACGUGGUUCGAAACGCGUUGUCACGACGUCGCAAUUCUUUUAAAAUAAAUAAUGAUAAAAAGCGGUUUACGAAUAAAUGACACAUAAGCUAGCAUGUGUUAAAAUCAAAUAAAAUCAAAUGCAGCAGUUAAGCGACCGUGCUAGAACCACGGAACCCAAGAGUGCCUAACACAUUCUUCCGGGUUAACAAAAUUCCUUACUCGAAUUUCUGGUUCGUAGACUGUAACAGGUUUAUAUUUUUCCUCGGUUCGGGAUUCAACCGGAGACUUGGGACACCAUUAAUCUCCCAAGUGGCGACUCUGAAUAAUUAAUAAUUAAAUCAUGUUCCGAUUGUCCUUUAAAUGGAAAAACUCAUUUGCGCCCUUACCGGUGUAGGUAAAAAGGAGGUGUGACAUAUAUAUAUAUAUGCAUAUGUAAUCAUAUCCAGAUGUUUUAUUAUUUUUCCGUAAUUUUUAAAGGGUUUCAAAUCAAUUUAUUUCCCUCUUUUAUCUAUAAAAAAUCCAAUAAUUAUUUCCAAAAUUAUUAUUUUGGUAAUUCAUCUGUUGGACUUUUAUAUUUAUGCUAAAAUAUAGCUAAGGUAAUUUUUGCACAUUUACAAAAUUUAUUUAGUAUUCUUAAGCUAAAUUGCAUAUAAUUGCAAUAUUAGCCCUUUUAACAUUCAAUGGUAUUUUAUAUUCAUAAAAUUAAGUCCAGUAUUUUUAAAUUGAUAAUUAUAUGUUAUAAAUAAUUUUAGUGCUUUCAAUUUAUUUCCAGAAAUUAAUUUACUAUUUUUUAUUUUUAAAAGGGGAAAAUUGGCUAUUUAAAUAAUAGCCUAAUUACACUUCAACUUUUGCCUAAAUCUGACCCCAAAUUAAACCCAAUUUUCCUGGCCCAAUUCCAUUUCAAACUCGACCCCUAACCCAAUUAAAUGACCCAACCCGGAUUCCCCUACCUACCCUUUUGAAUCCAGGCCGUUGAUCAUUCAGAUCAACAACCAUGAUUCGCCCUUCCAUAAUUAAACCUAAAAAACCCUUAAACCUACCUCAUUUUUUCACCAAUCGUCGCCUCUAGAUCCCUUCCCUCUCAACUCUCUCUGCAAUCCCUCAUGAACCCUAGCCGCCGCCAUCUAAUUUCACCCUAAUCCACCUUAACCCCUGCCUAAUCCAUGGCCUCUCAUGGCCAUUGGAGAUGUGUAUCAGCCUCCUAUGGCUCCUGGGUGUUUGUUUUUGUGGUUUCAUGGCCAGACCUCGAAGGGAUCUGGUCCAGUCCUCGCUCGACUUCUGUUCAUGGCCUUUCUCCGGCCAUACGUGACCUUUCAAGGUAGAUCCUUGACUUUAUUGGUUAGAUCGGUAACUUUCAAGGUCUUUCUUAAUUUUUCUGGGUUUUUCGAAACCCUAAUCUUUAAGAUCUUUCAACUAUCUUUCAGAUCUACUUUGGAUCUGUACUUGCUAUAAAUUUCUUAAGUGUUUUCUCGAAGGUUCUUCAACUUUUCUUUCAAAAUGGCUCUUCAUUUUCUCCGAUUAGGGUUUCUCUUAACCUCUCUUUUAAAAAAUCCCUUCUCUGAUUCUUGAUGUUGUUUUAUGAUUUUACUAUGUUCAAAAUACUUGUUAUGCUUUCUUUCUACUUGAAUCAGCAUAUUAAAACCCUAGUUCCCUUUUGUCUCAUCCGAGUUCUAAAACUGCAUGUUUAAAUGUGUACUUGUUCGAUUAAGUUCUUCGUUCUUGUUUGACUUAUUUGAUUCUGAGUUUUACCAUCUUUACUCAAUUAUUGUGGAAAACCCUAGGUCUUUUGGUCUGAAACUGCUUGUUUGAAUGUAUACUUGACUCGAUUAAAGGUUCCUUGUUUCAGACUCUCUUUUCUUUAUGUGACUUAUCUGAUUCUGACUUUUACUAUCGUUUUAACUCGACUAUUGUUGAAACCCUAAUUUCUCAAAAGGUUUCCACACUUGUUCCUGUGAGACCUUUACUUAUUUUUUAACUCUCUUCUUCACUUUGGCUAUACGUGUGAGCCCUGACUGACUAACUUUGUUCACUACUGAAUCCUAUGCUUAUUUUUGCCACUACUGUAUAUUUGUGCUAUCUCUUUUGCCAAUAUGUUUGGCCUCGCAUGUCUGAUGUUCCUGUUGCUCUAUUUAUAUGCUGAAGUUUCUUCACUCGCCUGUUUAAAACUAAUUGAUUCCUUUCCCUUUACUGUGAUGUUUUACCUUGCUGAAUCCUUUCCCAAAAUAAGCAUAUUUUGUACUUAGACUUGAUUGUUUGUUUCAUGCUUUUACUGCCCUUUUUAUGGCAAUAAUCAAUCUGUCCCCAAACUGAUUUUCUUUCCUUAAUUAGACCUGCUGCUACCAGUUAAACAAUGAUCCCUUAAUUAAAGGAAUCACUUGUGUUAAUUGAUUCUGACUUGUGAUUGUUUCCAUGUUUGUGUUAAGACUUUACCUAUUACCUUACUUUUCACUCGUUUUCAAAAACUAUAAAUACCCUACACCCCUCUUCUUUAAAACACACGAACAAUUGAGUUCAAGAACACACACUUACACUCAAAACUUUUUCUCUUUUCUCUACUACUACGUGUGCUACUACUUUGUCUAGCCAGCUGAAAGCCAAGGCUAGACUGUGGAAUUUUUGCCUACUUUUUCUUUCUACACUUUGUUUCUCUACUAGUAUGUCCUAGUUAAUCUUCAAGCAUCAACAACAUGUUUCUUUAGCUGUUUCAAUUUCCUUCACCCUUGCCUGCUUCUGCUUAUGUUUAUGCAAUCGAGUUAUAUUACUAAGCAUGUUGUAAUCUGCUCCCUCUCCUUCUAAAUUAAUGUUUUCCCUUAGGUAUGCACUUUAUCAGUCACUUGUUGUGUGAUUUGCUGACUUAUGAAUCCCAAACCCCCAUAUCCCCUCAUGUGUUUGUGUUCUCUGGCUGGUUUAUGGGCAUACCGGCAUCAUCUAUUGUUGUACAUGACCAAACCUGACCCUUUCUAGGGUUAUAUGCUUCGUGCAAUGUAAUCCCAAAACCCCUGAGCCUUUUGUGUAACUGCUGAUUCUAUGUAGUUUGAGUUUUACUACUACUGUUUUCAAAUCACCCUUACCCGCUUACUAUUCUCAAUCCAGUUUUAAAUAAAUCUUUGUGUUCUGCACUUCCACUAUAUUCUUAGAACCUAGGUUCUGCCCCUCUUGUGUGAGCCUUGCCUUGGGACCCUUGAGCUCCCUCUGAACUUGGACACAUAAGGGCUGGCCCUUCCACACUUCCCUCAUCUCUAUCUGGUUAUGCAAACCUGGGUGUAAGCACUACUCGGAGUCCCUUGAGACCCUUAGGGAACUUUGACAUACCCAGGUCUAAAAAAGGCUUUUAAACAAGUGGCAUUUGAGGUGAUUUAUUCCAUAACUCAGAAAGGAAGUCAGAAUCAGGCUUCCUAUGAUUGUAAAUUCUUAUUUUACACCUUUUUUAUGUAAUUCGGUAUUUGGUCUGUAAUAAUUUGUAACAAAUAUUAGGGUUGGCUAGUGAAAAGGGAUGGGGUAAUUAUGCAUGUUUUAGCUAUUAGAAGGGUAGAGAACAUGCCUAUAGGAUCUGUUCUGUUUUAAUUCUAGUUCUGCAUGCUUUACUUUCACGCAAAUAGAGAACAUGCCUAUAGGAUCUAUUCUGUUUUAAUUCAAGUUCUGCAUGCUUUACUUUCACGCAAAUAGGGAACAUGCAUAUAGGAUCUGCUCCGUUUUAAUUCAACUUCUGCAUGCUUUACUUUCACACAAAUAGAGAUCAUGCCCAUAGGAUUAAAAUUCAUUUUAAUAGAAAUCAUGCCUACAGGAAUUUCGCUUUAAUCAAAUAAAUCCUGCCUACUUCACUGCAUGCUCAAUUAGAUACCAUGCUUAUAGGAUCAAAAUCAGUCGUUAACACUUAGAUACCAUGCAAAUAGGAAUUGAAAUCAGCUAUAAUAGAGAUCAUGCCUAUAGUAUCUAAAUCAGUCUAGUUAAAAUCAGUUUGACUCAUGCCUGUCAUGAAUCAGUUUAAGCAACUUACUCCUUUUAUUAAUACGGUUUAGAAAGCAUGCCUAUAGGAUCCAAAUCGCCCGUUUAAAAAAAAUCAACCACUGUUCUGUUGCCUUCUUAAUUAGUAAUAGAUAUCAUGCUUAUAGGACAUCACCAAUACACACUUAGGCAAGUCUUAGGUAAUUGCUUAAUAAAACUCGAUUCGCCUUUGUUAAUUAGCAACUGCAACAACCAGCAGGCAGGCCUGAUUCAGACCUCUUAUCUGAGUUAUGUAAUAAAUAUGGUAUGCUUCAACAAUUAAAACAUCCUGCCUUGGUACUUUAAAUUCUGACCCUAAUUGUGUUUAAGCCAUGCCAUUUAUGUGCAUUGUCUGCGGAGGUAUAUAUGGGCCUCUUAUAUGUUUAUAUGUUUCCCUUAAUAUGCAAUCCUAUAUGUUUUGUAUGUCGCCUUAGCCUUUUUACCUUUAAAACCCAAGAGUCAGCCUAAAACCCUCCCUCUUAUAGGAAUAGUAGUCCUAAAUUCCUCCGGGACUGAUAGGAAUGGGACGGGUAAUAGCAUGCAAUAGAGGUUGAGACCAAUCCGCGCUUUAAUACCUUAAGAGGUGGGAAAGGUAGAUAUGGAUAUGAUGACUGGUGCACUAUGUGCACUAAUACCAUGUGUAUCCCCUCUUCUGAGGAGUGUCAUACCCGGUAUCACAUUGAUGUGAUCCAUAUUUCAAAUAAACCUAGGACCCCCCUCCUCCCUUUUAUAUUCUCAAAUGUUUGUAGAGCUGUAAUUCCUUUUUAAAAUUCGCCUUUUAAUAAUUGUUUUCAAACUCUUAUAUGUUCAAACUUAAAUCCCCUACUAUUUGUGCCUAUAUUUGUCUAUCUACUAAUUGUACAAAGUUUACAAAAACUGUCUGGCCGAGAACCACACUAGUGGAUCCUAAGGGGUGCCUAACACCUUCCGCUUAGGAGAAUUUCAAGCCCUUACCCUGUCUCUUGUUAUCAAACAAACUUAAAAAUGAACCUUAUAGGUGUCCUAAUGCACCUUAAAUCAUUAGGUGGCGACUCUCCAAAUGCAAAUCCAAUUCCCGAAAGGAAUGAGUUGUCCUACCCCAAGAAUGUCAUAAACCCGAUUUUCCGAUGCAAAGAAGGAAAAGGGGGGCGCGACAAAUGACAGAUUGUUAGGCUAACGCAGAAUGGCAGAUUGUUUACUCGUUACUCGUUAGUGGUUGUUUCUUCUUUCUUAAUGCUUAGGCUCUUAGCGCUUAUCAGUACAUGAAACAUGAAUAUGUAUUAAACUGUACCGAACCAAAAUAAGAAAUACCGAACCGUACCGAAAUAUUUUGGUACGGUAUUUGGUAUACACAAUUGUCACACUUUCUUUUUACACACCCGAGGGGGUAUAAGGGAGUUUUUCCAAUUUAAGUGAUAUUAUUCGAAGUGGAUUAUUUAAUUUAUCAGAGUCGCCACUUGGAAUAGUUUAUUUGGUGUCCCAAGUCACCAGUUUAUUUUUCAAAUCCCAAAUCGAGGAAAUUCGACUAUCCUUUUGAAGUCUACGAACCAGAAAUUCUAAGUAAGGAAUUCUGUUAACCCGGGAGAAAGUGUUAGGCAUUCUCGGGUUCCGUGGUUCUAGCACGACCGCUUAAACUAUUACAAUUGGCCUAUUAUCUGAUUUAUUACAUGUUUUAGCCAUUGGUGCAUUUUUAACUUACUAACCACUUUUAAUUAUUUUAGGAAGAUUCAACGUUAUUUAAACAUGCCUUGAACCACGCCACAUGAAAUGCACCCGCUGACCACGAUACAUUUUAUUUAACGUUGUUGAGAAUUGGAGUUGGGUCACAUGAAAUGCACACCCGAAUUUAAUAAAUAAAAGAAAAUCAAUUUAUAGAACGCGCCUAAAGCAACUAUGAAAGUCCAAAUUAAUACAAAAUUUGCGAGGGCCAUGGAAAAUUUAAUUGAUGGCACACCCCGAUUUUAAGAAUAAUAACUCUUGAAUUGAAUUUGUGAGGGCCAUAUAUUAUAGGUUUUAUUUGGCAUGGCACACCUCGAAUUAUUCUUAAGAGCUGACUAGUUUUAUGAGGGUCAUUGGCUUAGGGAUUUUAUUUGGCAUGGCACACCUCAUACCUUUUUCUAUAAGAUUUGUAUUUUUUUACUAAAAGUAAACUAAGGAUGCUCCUAUUUAGCUAGUGAUGCAAAUAACAUAAAAGCCUAGAGGUCUCAAUUCCCUUUAUAUCCAAAUUGAAAAGAAUUAUCAUCAAACUCACUUCUUCACAUUACACAAAUAUGGAAUACGGAAUAUGGAGGCAAAAGUAAACGUCUAAAUCGGAAGACCAGCUCGCAGAAUAAAAACAUAAAGUUCUAAAAGCUAAUGAAUCACCAACUCACAUGUAAUUAAACAAAUGGUUAAAAUUCAAACAUAUAGAACCAAAACCGUAAUUUGUAUAGCACACAAUAUAAUUCUUUUUCGUUGAUAAGUAUAUAGCAUGCCAUAUUAGUAUCACGCAGUAUGAUAUCUUUGCAGAUUAAAAAGACAUUGACAACAUGUACAAAGAAAAGUAUGAAAUGGAAGAAAUUAGUAUUCGAACCUUCAUAGCAGGCAUCGGUUCAAUUGUUGACCAUUUAUAACACUGAUUGACGAUAACCUUGAGUGUAGAAUUACAGCAAAGUGUCAAACAAAAGCCAAAGAAGAAAUGCGAAGGGUUCAGCGAAGUUGUAACGCAGCAGCAACAAACAGCCCUUUUAAAUCUCAAUUUAACCGUAAAAAUCAACUCGCCCAUUUCGACAUUCCCAGCCUCUGGUAGCAACAACCAUUUCCCUUUUGCUGGUCCAAUUUCUAUCUUUUUAUUUUAGGUCUUAGGGUGUAGGUCUGUGAAUAGUGAAGAAGAGUGAGGAAGAAACAGAGAGGGGAGGGGUGUUGUUGAAGAAGCAGGCGUCGUUUCCUAAGGGGUAAGGGAUUUUUUGAUCUCCUCCCUAUAAUGUAGCCUAAAAUCUUCUCUAUAUAGAUCUAAG
rnacentral:lncRNA from 1 species